CAAAAGGGGAUCUUGUCCAGGAAGGCACCUUCCUUCAGGCAUUACUUAGGAGUAAUUACAUUACAAAACCAGAUUCAAGUCAUCUUCAGCUGAGGUUAGAAAAAGAACCAUAUCCUCUACUGCUAUUGGGUGAACAUCCACUCAGAAUACCAUGAGGUUCUAGAUCUCUGGACGUUCUUGGUCAACGGUCAUCGCCUAGACUUAACUGUCUUCCUAAGGUACAGUGAGGCAAGCAGCAGCUCCCCGACCUCUCCAUCCAUCUUGUGCCUUAGAAGCCUCUACACUUCUCCCAAGCAGAUUGUCCGCCUUGGGCCAUCAUCUCUCAAUCUCCGUUACUCCUAGAUCCAUUCUCAUGGCUGAGGAAACGGAUUACUGCUGCCCCAAACAUGCUCUAUUGAAGCACAAAAACAAACAGUUAGGAGAAUAUUUUGACCUCCUGCACAGAUUCUGGGAAGACGACAAAGAGUUGUUGAGGAGAGAAAUUGCCGAAUUGCAGAAAGUUUGUGAAAGGCAUCUUGAGGCAGCUUUAGAAGAUUCAGGACAGCGUCCACCACAAGAAGAGGAAAGAAACGAAGUGGAAAUGCCAGAACAGGACCAGCCUGACCCAGAAGAGCCAGGAGGUGAACAGUUGUGAAAAGCAAACGUGUGACUAAAGCUUGACCCCUUUGCCAACCAGGAGUCACUUGAAAGGCAACAUGUUUCUCUUUUUUGGACUCGAAUUCCUUAAAGAACAAUGAAGAUGAAGACAGUGUGAAAAGUCUGGAGCAAUAAGUCUUUGCCUAGCUAAAAUCAGAAUAAAACUUGACCCCUUUUGCCAGCUGGGAGCCAUUCUAUUUCUCCUUAUUCCUCAUCAGGGUUAUACAUUUAAGUGUCAUUUCUAUGUCUUUGAGAGGAACUCUUCAUUAGGGACCUUUGUUUGGUGAUGUUUGUACUGAGAUCACUGGGGGCUUAUCAAUGUUUCGUCAUAUCUUCGCUGAUUUGUGUUUAUUGUGUGCCUUCAAGUCAUUUCCAACUUAUGGCGAUCGUAAGGCCAACCUGUCAUGCGUUUUCUUGUCAAACCUCCACCUCUGAACUUAAUAUUCCACCAGUGACCUUCCAAACAGAACCAAACCUGCCUCAAACCCUGCGAUGAUAGCUUUGCUUGUCAGAGUUAAAGGGGGAAUAAAACAAAGAUCCUUGCCUGGAACUGAAAGGUUUAUAACUCCAGAGCAGAGUAUUCCAGAGAUGAGACGAAUGAAGAGGUAC